rnacentral:rRNA from 1 species
UACGGAGGGGGCUAGCGUUGUUCGGAAUUACUGGGCGUAAAGCGCACGUAGGCGGCUUUGCAAGUUAGAGGUGAAAGCCCGGGGCUCAACCCCGGAAUUGCCUUUAAAACUGCAUCGCUAGAAUCGUGGAGAGGUAAGUGGAAUUCCGAGUGUAGAGGUGAAAUUCGUAGAUAUUCGGAAGAACACCAGUGGCGAAGGCGACUUACUGGACACAUAUUGACGCUGAGGUGCGAAAGCGUGGGGAGCAAACAGG